AUUGAACGCUGGCGGCAUGCUUUACACAUGCAAGUCGGACGGCAGCACAGAGAAGCUUGCUUCUUGGGCGGCGAGUGGCGAACGGGUGAGUAAUAUAUCGGAACGUACCGAGUAAUGGGGGAUAACUAAUCGAAAGAUUAGCUAAUACCGCAUAUUCUCUGAGGAGGAAAGCAGGGGACCUUCGGGCCUUGCGUUAUUCGAGCGGCCGAUAUCUGAUUAGCUAGUUGGUGGGGUAAAGGCCUACCAAGGCGACGAUCAGUAGCGGGUCUGAGAGGAUGAUCCGCCACACUGGGACUGAGACACGGCCCAGACUCCUACGGGAGGCAGCAGUGGGGAAUUUUGGACAAUGGGCGCAAGCCUGAUCCAGCCAUGCCGCGUGUCUGAAGAAGGCCUUCGGGUUGUAAAGGACUUUUGUCAGGGAAGAAAAGGCUGUUGCUAAUAUCGACAGCUGAUGACGGUACCUGAAGAAUAAGCACCGGCUAACUACGUG
rnacentral:rRNA from 1 species